ensembl:lncRNA
GCAGGGUGGGCCUGUGCCUGUGUGUGUAUGUGUGUCUACAUUGUAUGCAAGUAUCUCAGUGUGUGUGUGUGUGUGUGUGUGUGUGUGUGUGUGUGUGUGUGCGCCCAUCUGCCUCUCUCUGUCUGCCUGCCUUAGCAUCACUGUGCUACCAUAUUGCCGGAUACCUCUAAAGUAUCAGAGGCCGUGAUUUAAAACGGCUCAGUGGCGACGUAGCGAGUCCGCUGAACGGGGAAGAAAGCGGGAGAACAUGACGCAGCCGAGAGAGGAGCCUCGUGGCCAUUGCUCCCCGACAAUAGCUGAGCAGCCAGCUGGCGUGCCAGGAGGCGUCUUGGUGGACUGUCGCUGGACCAAAACCGGAAAAGAGAAGUUGGUAGUUGGUCGCAUCAUCUGUCGGCGAUGCCAAAAGCAUGAUGCUCCCGUCCUAAGAAGAAACGAGCUCUUCAGUUCUCACAUGACAAAGCACAGAUUGAGCUUGGUGAAGACAAAGGCUGCUCGUGAAUGGUCGAGUUUCCAUACUACAAAAGUAUGUUUUUUUGUGCCCCUCCCUCCUCUUCUACAUGCAGGACCUGCAUCCUGUAAUUAGCGCCGGCCAAGACGACAUGUGAUGGGUUUCAAAGAAAUACCAACAAGCCACAGCGUUAUUUUUAAGUACACCAGAAUGAAUAUGUAUUACACUGCGCCAUGGAGAUAGGUCUGCCUGUGGGAGCAGAGAUAACGUCUAAUAAUGUCUCCGAAGGGUUUAUAUUGGAGUUUCGGUAGGUGCUGUUAGCUGCAAAUGCUCACGAAACAGCGCUGGAAUUGAUUGUAUUGUAUGAAUUUUGUAAAUAGUCAAUGGACUUGUAUUUGUAUAUUCCCUUUCACCCGUUUACGCAUUCAUACACUGAUGGCAGAGGCUCCCAUGCAGGGUGCCAUCUGCCCAUGAGGACCCCAAACUAACUCAUUCAUAUUCAUAUAUCCAGAGCACUGCCAAGGACACUAACACCUGUCUCUACAUACUUUGGGGCAGUUUUAUGAAGUUCAGAAGAGAUGCUGUCAUGAAAGUAUUUUAAUUUCAAUUGUUGUUUUCUAAUUAAAUGUCCAAAAUUCGCAAUCAACAUCACAUUAAGGAGUAAUGUC